AUUGAACGCUGGCGGCAUGCUUUACACAUGCAAGUCGAACGGUAACAGGCCUUCGGGUGCUGACGAGUGGCGAACGGGUGAGUAAUGCAUCGGAACGUGCCCAGAGGUGGGGGAUAACGCAGCGAAAGCUGUGCUAAUACCGCAUGUGAUCUGAGGAUGAAAGCGGGGGAUCAGGCAGCAAUGUUUGGCCUCGCGCCUUUGGAGCGGCCGAUGUCAGAUUAGGUAGUUGGUGGGGUAAAGGCCUACCAAGCCGACGAUCUGUAGCUGGUCUGAGAGGACGACCAGCCACACUGGGACUGAGACACGGCCCAGACUCCUACGGGAGGCAGCAGUGGGGAAUUUUGGACAAUGGGCGCAAGCCUGAUCCAGCAAUGCCGCGUGCGGGAAGAAGGCCUUCGGGUUGUAAACCGCUUUUGUACGGAACGAAAAGGCUCUGGCUAAUACCUGGGGCUGAUGACGGUACCGUAAGAAUAAGCACCGGCUAACUACGUG
rnacentral:rRNA from 1 species